rnacentral:lncRNA from 1 species
UUUCUUUCUUUCUUCUUCUUCUUCUUUUUUUUUUUUCGGUGUAGGGCACCAGAAGAUUGGAAACAAUAUUCUUUUCUGAUCAGUUCAGUAAUACAAUGUCCUUGAAUGUUCAUAUGAGCAUUUCAGUGGAGAAGAAAAGAAACUUUGCUACCUGAGAACUGAAGACUACUUAGUAAAGAUUCUGGAAUGCUAUAUCCAUCCUUCAAAGUCUACUAGAUGGCCUGAUGCCUUCAAGAAGUCUUUCCUGAUUCCAUGAAAGUUAGACAUAGAAUACUUCCCUGGCUGAAAUGCAAAUGGUAACCUCCUGGAACAGGCCUGGCAUCUUGAUCCCUAGAGGUAGCUAACAACUCCAAAGAUCACCAAGGAGGUAACAUAGAUGGUCUUUUCAUUUUCUUAAUAUGCCU